rnacentral:rRNA from 1 species
UCGUAUAGUGAUAAGUCUCGUUAAUUCAGUAAAACGAGCGCGAUCUCAAUAACAUAAAAGUUAAAACUGUUAUUUAACGGUUUUUUCUUUCAAGAAAAUCACGGAUUUUUUGGAAUUGUUAGACCGCUGUUGUAAGGUUAAAUUCCUGUAAGCAAAGGAAGGGUGAGGCGAGAAUA